CUCACCCAAUAGGGAAAGGAAGGUUUUUUGGGGUUUAGGAAUUAUGCCACUUCACUCUCACUCUGCGACUGUGUAGGGUUUUAGACACUCCAUAAUCGCAUUCUCUCUUACUCUUUCUCGCUCUCUGUAUGUCUCUCCAGCAUGCAGGUGUUGAAAGGUAGCUGGAUUGGGCAAACUUCUGUUAUAGCCAAGGCCAAUGAGUCUGGAGGGAAGAAGACUCGUAUUCGUCGCUCAAAAGAGGAGAGGAAGGAAAUGGUGGAAUCUUUUAUAAAGAAAUUUCAAAGGCAGAAUGAUGGGAAUUUUCCAUCUCUUAGUCUCACACACAAGGAAGUUGGUGGAUCUUUUUAUACUGUUCGAGAGAUUGUCCGCGAGAUAAUUCAAGAAAAUAGAGUGCUUGGUCCUGCUAAGUUGACUCUUGAGGAGCAGAAAACUAAUGAGCUGGUGGAACAAUCUCCACUUGGUUCAAUUUCCACAGGACCU